AUUGAACGCUGGCGGCAGGCCUAACACAUGCAAGUCGAGCGGUAGCACAGAGAGCUUGCUCUCGGGUGACGAGCGGCGGACGGUGAGUAAUGUCUGGGAAACUGCCUGAUGGAGGGGGAUAACUACUGGAAACGGUAGCUAAUACCGCAUAACGUCGCAAGACCAAAGAGGGGGACCUUCGGGCCUCUUGCCAUCAGAUGUGCCCAGAUGGGAUUAGCUAGUAGGUGGGGUAACGGCUCGCCUAGGCGCCGAUCCCUAGCUGGUCUGAGAGGAGGAACAGCCACACAGGAACUAAGACACGGUCCAGACUCCUACGGGAGGCAGCAGUGGGGAAUAUUGCACAAUGGGCGCAAGCCUGAUGCAGCCAUGCCGCGUGUAUGAAGAAGGCCUUCGGGUUGUAAAGUACUUUCAGCGGGGAGGAAGGUGUUGAGGUUAAUAACCUCAGCAAUUGACGUUACCCGCAGAAGAAGCACCGGCUAACUCCGUGCAGCCGCCGCGGUAA
rnacentral:rRNA from 1 species